AUGGACUUCGCCGUGGACGCGGCGCUGUGGGUGGUUGGCAAAGCGCUGGCACCCGUCACGGACGGCCUGCUGGAGUCAUGUGCGGCCAGCACCGAGCUUGGCCGCAACAUCGACGCCCUCAAGAUGCAACUCCUCUACGCACAAGGGAUGCUCGACAACGCGCAGGGUAGGGACAUCCGCAGCCCUGCGCUCAAGGAGCUUCUGCACAAGCUGCGGGAGCUGGCGUACUGUGCCGACGACGCGCUCGAUGAGCUCGACUACUUCCGCAUCCAGGACGCACUUGACGGCACAUACCAUGCCGCCAAUUUGGAUUCCCAGAGCUGCGUUGACAGGAUCGCCAUCAAUGCUCACCACACCGCCAAGGCUGCGGCCAAUAAUCUCAAGUGCUCAUCAUCCUCUACCCGGGCUGAUCCCGACGAUCAGGAAGAUGGUGGCAAACGAGGAUGCCUCUCUGUCGUUGGCUCGUGUGGGGAGCAUGAGAUCAGCUCCUCACGACCGCCACCCACCACCCAGGGAGUCCAGGAGGUUGAUGGCGGAUGCAUGCCUAAUGUCGUCUCUUGUGCUCGCACCGCUGCACAAACUAUCGGGAGUGGACAUCAAUAUGUGCUACAAGGAGAUCACGCCAUGCAAACACGAAAACUGAAGUUUGAUCGGGUCGUAAUUUCUACAAAAAUACUGGAAAUAAUAGAGCAGUUGAAACUUCUGUGUGCUAUGGUCUCCACCAUUCUCAAUCUAGAACUACUUGGCUCCACACGUAUCCCCCCUGCCCAAGACAUUACUAUGAACCGACCCAAAACCACCCCAAAUAUUAUAGAGCCUGAGUUGUAUGGGAGGAAUGACCAGAAAAAGGAAAUCAUUGAUGACAUUACAAAUGGUAAAUAUUGUACCAAUGAACUUACCGUAGUUCCACUUGUUGGUCCAGGAGGUAUUGGGAAGACAACACUCACGCAACACAUAUUUGCAGAACUGGAGGGUUCUUUCCAAGUUUCAGUUUGGAUAUGUGUAUCUCUAGAUUUUAAUGCAGAUAGGUUGACGCAAGAGAUUGUGAAAAAGAUCCCUGAAGUGAAUGAUGAAAAGGCUAAUGCUACCAAUCAACAGCUAAUUGUACAAAGAUUAAAAUCUAAGCGGCUUUUACUUGUUUUAGAUGAUGUGUGGACAUACCACGAGGAUGAGUGGAAAAAAUUAUUAGCUCCAUUAAGUCAUACGGGGGGAGAAAAGGGUAAUGUGGUUAUAGUCACUACACGGAUUCCAAAGGUAGCAAGUAUGGUCACCACAACUAACUCUUCAAUUGACGUCGGACGUCUAAGUCAUGAGGAUACUAGGUCUUUCUUCGAAGUAUGUGUAUUUGGUGACCAACGACCAUGGGAAGACCAUUCUGAAUUACGUGAUGUUGGGAAUAGAAUAGUAACAAAAUUGAAGGGUUUCCCUCUUGCAGCAAAAACAGUAGGUAGAUUGCUAAGAAACCAACUUACUUUGGACCACUGGAUAAGAGUUGCAGAAAGUAGAGAAUGGGAAUUACAGACCAAUGACAAUGACAUUAUGCCAGCUCUAAAGCUUAGUUAUGAUUAUCUCCCUUUUCAUCUACAACAAUGUUUUUUCUAUUGUGGGCUGUUUCCAGAAGAUUAUGAAUUUAGUGCCAAAGAGUUGGUUCACUUUUGGACAGGAUUAGGCAUUUUACGACCACUUGAUCAGGCAAAAAGAACUGAAGAUAUUGCACUAAGCUAUUUAAACGACUUGGUAAAUCAUGGUUUUUUUUAA
rnacentral:rRNA from 1 species